rfam:Myotis davidii contig323647, whole genome shotgun sequence.
CAGUGCUUAUAGCUCUUCUUGAAUUUGCCUAGCAGGUCUUCCAGUUUUUACCGAAAGCCGCCCCC